rnacentral:lncRNA from 1 species
CAAGUGUUUUAAAAUGUAAAAUUUCCCUUAGAACUAAGUACAAUGCAGAGAUAAGAAAAAUGUAAAUUCAGUAAUUUAAAGGUCAAACCCAUUAUAUGGCAGCAAUCUGAAUGUCAAAUCUACCUUUUCUCAAGUUUUUCCUAUCUUCUUCCUCCUAAUUGUUUUUGUCCAGUCUCUCACUGUGGCCUUUUUGUUUAUUACAAUAUGACAUCUCCAUGGUUUUUUACUUUUCCAUCUUCUAUCACUUUUUUUACAGUAGUAGAAAGACAAUAAGACUUCUCUUUUUCAGUUUAUUAUUCUUCCCCUCUUUUUUUCCCUGUUUUUUGCAGGAAUGAGAAGUACUGUCUAAACAGAGUACAGUAAAGUAUUUCUUUGCCUUUCCUGGAGUCAUGCAAGGUCUGCUUUCAGUCAGUUAUUCUUCAUUCAGGAGAUCAUUUCCCCCCAGGCCAAGAAAGGGUUGGAUCACAAUUACCUCUCAACUUAAUAAGAAAGAAGAAAUUAAGAAUGUUCCAUCAAAACACUCAAAACCCAUGUAAAAGAUCUGGAAAAGAAUAU